AUCAUAAUCUUCUUCCCCAGUAAUCCAUUCCUUUUCCCACGGUGGAGAACAAGACGAAGAAGAAGAAGAAGGAGAAGAGGGAGAAAGAGACAAGGUUAGGUCCGGCGACGGAGAUAACUCCAUAAUCAUCCUCCGUCCCUACUCUCUAUCUCCGAUCAAAACCCUUAACCCAUUAAAAAAUCCGACCAAAAAAUGCGUCGACCGAGGAAGCCUGCC
rnacentral:lncRNA from 1 species